rfam:Gossypium raimondii Chr06_contig_372, whole genome shotgun sequence.
UCUUAAAAAAUUCAUCUAUUUGUACUGUUAAAACUUGUGUAGCUGACAAAAUAACCAAAUAGUGACAUGUGGUAUGCCACAUGUACCUCAUGUUAAUGUACAUGGAUUAAUUUUUAACAUUAUAAAUGGAUGCAAUUUUUAAUA